UAUGGCGUUACGAGUCACGCCCCUUUGCUCCCUGCGUCACAUUUAGUCGCCAUCCAGAACGUCACUUUGACGGAAAUCCCGUGGCUGGUGUUUGGCUGAGGUUGCCCCUCUGCAGUCAGCGGUUUGAGUGAGACUGCUCCAGCGCAGUGAGUGCGGGUGUUUACCUGAGAUUACGGACGCGUUAUGUCCCUCUACUGAGCCCAUUGUUUCCCCGAUAGACUGCGAGCUCUCAGCUUCCCGGCACAUUGUUGUCUGUUUGACUGAUGGGAAUUUAGAUCUUAUUCAUACGGAGCUGAGUGCCUAAAGCAGUGGUGGAUUUCUGGUGUUGGUGCUUCUUUCGCGAGUACUGGUUGAAGUGGUUGUGUUGUGUGAGUGUGUGUAUGCGUGUGUCACAGGUAUAAGUGAAGGGUGUUUUGCUGUGGAGGCCGAUUGCGCCCUUAUGCCCUGCUGUCGAGCCUCAGUUCCUGUACCGGAACUUUUGGAUGUCCUUGAUGACCCAGGUUGCCCAUUAUUGUAUUUGUGAAGUGUUAUCUAUGUGAUUGUUGCCCUCAGUGAUUUAGCAGCUUUCUCUUUUUUUCUAUUUUUGUAAUAAUUCCCUUUUAUUGUAAUAAACAUGAUCUUUUGUA